CGGCGGACGGGUGAGUAACGCGUGGGUAACCUGCCUCAUACAGGGGGAUAACAGUUGAAACGGCUGCUAAUACCGCAUAAGCGCACAGUACCGCAUGGUACGGUGUGAAAAACUCCGGUGGUAUGAGAUGGACCCGCGUCUGAUUAGGUAGUUGGUGGGGUAACGGCCUACCAAGCCGACGAUCAGUAGCCGACCUGAGAGGGUGACCGGCCACAUUGGGACUGAGACACGGCCCAA
rnacentral:rRNA from 1 species